GACGAACGCUGGCGGCGUGCCUAAUACAUGCAAGUAGGACGCUGAAGGAGGAGCUUGCUUCUCUGGAUGAGUUGCGAACGGGUGAGUAACGCGUAGGUAACCUGCCUGGUAGCGGGGGAUAACUAUUGGAAACGAUAGCUAAUACCGCAUAAUAGUAGAUGUUGCAUGACAUUUGCUUAAAAGUUGCAAUUGCAUCACUACCAGAUGGACCUGCGUUGUAUUAGCUAGUUGGUGGGGUAACGGCUCACCAAGGCGACGAUACAUAGCCGACCUGAGAGGGUGAUCGGCCACACUGGGACUGAGACACGGCCCAGACUCCUACGGGAGGCAGCAGUAGGGAAUCUUCGGCAAUGGACGGAAGUCUGACCGAGCAACGCCGCGUGAGUGAAGAAGGUUUUCGGAUCGUAAAGCUCUGUUGUAAGAGAAGAACGAGUGUGAGAGUGGAAAGUUCACACUGUGACGGUAUCUUACCAGAAAGGGACGGCUAACUACGUG
rnacentral:rRNA from 1 species